rnacentral:rRNA from 1 species
GACGAACGCUGGCGGCGUGCUUAACACAUGCAAGUCGAACGGAAAGGCCCCUUUGGGGGUACUCGAGUGGCGAACGGGUGAGUAACACGUGAGUAACCUGCCCUUGACUUCGGGAUAACUUCAUGAAACUGGGGCUAAUACCGGAUAGGAAUCCUUGCUGCAUGGUGGGGGUUGGAAAGCUUGGGCGGUUUUGGGUGGACUCGCGGCUUAUCAGCUUGUUGGUGGGGUAGUGGCUUACCAAGGCCUUGACGGGUAGCCGGCCUGAGAGGGCGACCGGCCACAUUGGGGCUGAGAUACGGCCCAGACCCCUACGGGAGGCAGGCGUGGGGAAUAUUGCCCAAUGGGCCGAAGCCUGAUGCAGCAAAGCCGCGUGCGGGAUGACGGCCUUCGGGUUGUAAACCGCUUUCCGCAGGGGCGAAGCUUGUGGUGACGGUACCUGCAGAAGAAGCACCGGCUAACUACGUG